rnacentral:rRNA from 1 species
UCGGCUAAAAAGCCGGUAGAGCAUUAUACAGCGAACUGCGAAUGGCUCAUUAAAUCAGUUAUCGUUUAUUUGAUAGUACCUUACUACAUGGAUAACCGUGGUAAUUCUAGAGCUAAUACAUGCUGAAAAUCCCGACUUCGGAAGGGGUGUAUUUAUUAGAUAAAAAACCAAUGCCCUCCGGGGCUCUCUGGUGAUUCAUAAUAACUUCUCGAAUCGCACGGCCUUGCGCCGGCGAUGGUUCAUUCAAAUUUCUGCCCUAUCAACUUUCGACGGCUGGGUCUUGGCCAGCCGUGGUGACAACGGGUAACGGAGGGUUAGGGCUCGACCCCGGAGAAGGAGCCUGAGAAACGGCUACUACAUCCAAGGAAGGCAGCAGGCGCGCAAAUUACCCAAUCCCGACACGGGGAGGUAGUGACAAUAAAUACUGAUACAGGGCUCUUUUGGGUCUUGUAAUUGGAAUGAGUACAAUUUAAAUCCCUUAACGAGGAACAAUUGGAGGGCAAGUCUGGUGCCAGCAGCCGCGGUAAUUCCAGCUCCAAUAGCGUAUAUUAAAGUUGUUGAGGUUAAAAAGCUCGUAGUUGAACCUUGGGCCUAGCCGGCCGGUCCGCCUCACCGCGUGCACUGGCUGCGCUGGGCCUUUCCUUCUGGGGAACCUCAUGCCCUUCACUGGGUGUGUCGGGGAACCAGGACUUUUACCGUGAACAAAUCAGAUCGCUUAAAGAAGGCCUAUGCUCGAAUGCUCUAGCAUGGAAUAAUAGAAUAGGACGUGUGGUUCUAUUUUUGUUGGUUUCUAGGACCGCCGUAAUGAUUAAUAGGGACAGUCGGGGGCAUCAGUAUUCAACUGUCAGAGGUGAAAUUCUUGGAUUAGUUGAAGACUAACUACUGCGAAAGCAUUUGCCAAGGAUGUUUUCAUUAAUCAGUGAACGAAAGUUAGGGGAUCGAGACGAUCAGAUACCGUCGUAGUCUUACCAUAAACUAUGCCGAUCUAGGAUCGGACGUGUUAUUUAUUGAUCCCCGUCAGCACCUUCUGAUAAUCAACAUGUUUUGUGGUUCUCGGGGGAGUAUGGUGUCACGCCGUACUAG